GUCGUCAUCGUAUAGUGGUCAGUAUCCCUGCCUGUCAAGUCAUUGUCCGCAGGAGGCCGGGGUUCGAUUCCCCGUGACGGCG